AUGACUGACUGGCUCUCGGAGUACUCCUGGCAGACACCUCAUGAUGGUCUUGGUCUCACAUCUCUCUGUGUUCCAGAUCCUGAAGUCAGCCCCAGCGUCUUCCCGCUGAGACUCCCUCUACCUGACUGUGAAGGAAACGCGGUCGUCGGCGUCCUGAUCCGGGGCUACUUCCCUGUGGGCCCUCUGAGUGUGAGCUGGAACGCCAGCGGGAACGUCACGAACUUCCCGCCUGUCCUGGCGGAGACUGACCUUGGGACCCAGUUCACCUCAAGCAGCCUGCUGAGCCUACCAGUUGAUCAGUGCCCCAAUAAAGGAAAAGUGCUCUGCACCGUGGACCAUAACUACAACAACAGCCAGCAGAAGGCCGUGUGCUGCCCAGCGGAUCCGUGUGCAAACUGCCGGUGCGGAUGCCAAAACCCCAGAAUCUACUUAGAGAGGCCGAACAUCAAAGACCUGCUCCUCAACUCAGAAGCCAACAUCACCUGCACGCUGAGAGGCGUGAAGAACCCUGCAGGGGCCGUCUUCAACUGGUCACCUGACACGGGGAACACUCCUGUGCUGCUUAGUGCCCAGGAGGACUCCUGCGGCUGCUACAGUGUGUCCAGCGUGCUGCCCGGCUGCGCAGAACUCUGGAACCAAGGGACACAGUUCACAUGCACUGUCGAACACCCUGAGAUAGAGGGCGGCUCACUGACUGACACCAUCAGCAAAAACACAGGGAACAUCAUCCCACCCGAGGUGCACCUGCUGCCGCCGCCGUCAGAAGAACUAGCCCUGAACGCACUGGUGACGCUGACCUGCCUGGUGCGCGGCUUCAGCCCCAAGGACGUGCUCAUCUACUGGCUGCAUGCAGAAAAGCUGGUCCCCAGGGAAGACUUCCUGGUGUUUAAGCCCCUGCCAGAACCCAACCAGACUUCCAGCACCUUCGCCGUGACCAGCCUGCUGCGCGUCUCGGCCAAGGAUUGGAACAACGGGGACAACUUCUCCUGCGUGGUGGGCCACGAGGGCCUGCCCGACAACUUCACCGAGAAGACCAUCGACCGUCUGUCGGGUAAACCCACCCACGUCAACGUGUCUGUGGUCGUGGCAGACGUGGAAAGUGUCUGCUACUGAGCCACCCGCCCUGCCCUGAAUAAACUGUGUGCUGGCCCCAGCA